CCCUUAGAUGUUCUGGGCUGCACGCGCGCUACACUGAAGCGUUCAACGAGUAUUCACCUUGCCCGGGAGGGUUGGGUAAUCUUUUGAAAACGCUUCGUGAUGGGGAUAGAUUAUUGCAAUUAUUAAUCUUCAACGAGGAAUUCCUAGUAAGCGCGAGUCAUCAGCUCGUGCUGAUUACGUCCCUGCCCUUUGUACACACCGCCCGUCGCACCUACCGAUUGAAUGGUCCGGUGAAGCCUCGGGAUUGCGAAUGCUUCGUGCGGACGCGAGAACUUGGCUAAACCUUACCAUUUAGAGGAAGGUGAAGUCGUANCA
rnacentral:rRNA from 1 species